rnacentral:rRNA from 1 species
GGAUUAGAUACCCUGGUAGUCCACGCCGUAAACGAUGAGUGCUAGAUAUUGGGGCAUUAGCUUCAGUGUCGCAGCUAACGCAUUAAGCACUCCGCCUGGGGAGUACGGCCGCAAGGCUAAAACUCAAAGGAAUUGACGGGGACCCGCACAAGCGGUGGAGCAUGUGGUUUAAUUCGAUGCAACGCGAAGAACCUUACCAACCCUUGACAUACUGAUCGCGGGUUUCAGAGAUGAAGCCUUUCAGUUCGGCUGGAUCAGAUACAGGUGUUGCAUGGCUGUCGUCAGCUCGUGUUG